UGAGAGGCAACCUCAAACUCUAAGCAGACUC
rnacentral:piRNA from 1 species